rnacentral:rRNA from 1 species
UGGCGGACGGGUGAGUAACGCGUGGGUAACCUGCCUCACACAGGGGGAUAACAGUUGGAAACGACCGCUAAUACCGCAUAAGCCAACAGGGGCGCAUGCUCUGGUUGGAAAAGAUUUAUCGGUGUGAGAUGGACCCGCGUCUGAUUAGCCAGUUGGCAGGGUAACGGCCUACCAAAGCGACGAUCAGUAGCCGGCCUGAGAGGGUGAACGGCCACAUUGGGACUGAGACACGGCCCAAACUCCUACGGGAGGCAGCAG